UUCUUACUGUGGCAGAACGGGUCAGUGUGUCUGGCUGUUAACCAGAAGGUUGGUGGUUCAAGCCCACCCAGGGACG
rnacentral:tRNA from 1 species